rnacentral:misc_RNA from 1 species
UCCGGUUUGUCACCGGCAGUCACCUUAGAGUGCCCAACUGAAUGCUGGCAACUAAGAUCAAGGGUUGCGCUCGUUGCGGGACUUAACCCAACAUCUCACGACACGAGCUGACGACAACCAUGCACCACCUGUCACCGCUGUCCCCGAAGGGAAAGACUUAUCUCUAAGCCGGUCAGCGGGAUGUCAAGACCUGGUAAGGUUCUUCGCGUUGCUUCGAAUUAAACCACAUGCUCCACCGCUUGUGCGGGCCCCCGUCAAUUCCUUUGAGUUUCAGUCUUGCGACCGUACUCCCCAGGCGGAGUGCUUAAUGCGUUAGCUGCAGCACUAAGGGGCCAUACGUCGAGUAAGCAUCGUUUAGGGCGUGGACUAC